AUUGAACGCUGGCGGCAUGCCUUGCACAUGCAAGUCGAACGGUAACAGGUCUUCGGAUGCUGACGAGUGGCGAACGGGUGAGUAAUACAUCGGAACGUGCGCGAGAGUGGGGGAUAACGAGGCGAAAGCUUUGCUAAUACCGCAUACGAUCUCAGGAUGAAAGCAGGGGACCGCAAGGCCUUGCGCUCACGGAGCGGCCGAUGGCAGAUUAGGUAGUUGGUGGGAUAAAAGCUUACCAAGCCGACGAUCUGUAGCUGGUCUGAGGACGACCAGCCACACUGGGACUGAGACACGGCCCAGACUCCUACGGGAGGCAGCAGUGGGGAAUUUUGGACAAUGGGCGCAAGCCUGAUCCAGCCAUGCCGCGUGCAGGAUGAAGGCCUUCGGGUUGUAAACUGCUUUUGUACGGAACGAAAAGACUCUGGUUAAUACCUGGGGUCCAUGACGGUACCGUAAGAAUAAGCACCGGCUAACUACGUGCCAGCAGCCGCCGUAACAC
rnacentral:rRNA from 1 species